AGUAAGUUCAACUUCAGCAGCUCCAGCUUUAGCUGUAGCAAAAGCAGCGGCGGAUCUUUGUUGCAGGCGCAAUAAGUGCAGCAUGUAACCGUUGCCAACACCGCGUGCGAGUCAAAUUCCAAAGAAAACAAGUUAGCGUUGUGCCAACUGGAGAUCGCCGGGGACGGGGACAGGGACGAAACGGAACGAGACGAGGAAAGUCCAGAGGCUAACACCAGCCUCGUUUCAACUUCUCCCUCCACGUCUCUGGGGUCCCUCUUGUAACCCGAAUGUUUACGGUGCUCAAGCACGUUUCACCAUAUUUCUAC
rnacentral:misc_RNA from 1 species